UACGGAGGGGGCCAGCGUUGUUCGGAAUCAUUGGGCGUAAAGGGCGCGUAGGCGGCCGAUCAAGUCGGAGGUGAAAUCCCUCGGCUCAACUGAGGAAUUGCCUCCGAUACUGUUCGGCUUGAGUCCUGGAGAGGGUAGUGGAAUUCCCAGUGUAGCGGUGAAAUGCGUAGAGACUGGGAAGAACACCAGUGGCGAAGGCGGCUACCUGGACAGGUACUGACGCUGAAGCGCGAAAGCGUGGGGAGCGAACAGG
rnacentral:rRNA from 1 species